rnacentral:lncRNA from 10 species
AGUGAUGCAGAGGGAUCCACACCCACAUGACGCAGCCUCUCCAUCUUCAGAGCACUGAGAAGUCAGGUAAAGCCAUAAAUGCCCAUGACACUGAUAGUCAAUGUUGAGUUCCUUAGGAAAAGUAGGACUUAAAAGCUACACAUCAGAAGACUGACUGUAAGAUAAAUCAGUGAGGGAUUCAUGGAUGUCUGAACUAGUUUGUGAAGAACUGUAGGAUAUUGACUGCAGGGACGGCAAAUGCAGACACAAGGAGGCAGAAUCAUAUGCAGCAUAUUCAGGAAGGGUGUAUAACUUUUGGGGUGGCUGUAAAGCAAUAUGAAACAAUAUAUCAUCAAUCAGAAGGCUGACAAAAUGUAAGUUGAUGCCAGGUUAUAGAAGUUUAAACGGUACAUCCAAUAUUUUGGAACUUAGCCUGUGAUGUAUUAGGGUAUGACGGAGAAAUGAGAAAAUUAACAGUUUUGCCUUAAGAAGAUGAAGGCUGUGUACAAAAUAAAUAAAGGAAAGGGUGAAAAUAGAAUUGAUGGGUUAUUGAUGGGAGACAAGUUAGGUGGGUCAAAGCAGAGGAGGAAAUCAAAGAUGACUCUGGAGUUGAGAGCCUGAUUAACUGGGUGGAUAAUGAAUCCUCACACGCAAAAGGGAAGUCGGAGGACGGAGCUCAUCUGGGGAAAGAUGUCACUAUAGACUCGAGUUAAAAAUGCCAGUGGGAUAAACCAGUGGAAAUGCAGAGCAGGCAAGUACAAAAAUGGACCUCUUGCUUCGAAGAGGGCUGGGAGUUAGUGCUAAAGAUUUGGGAAAUGGCUAAAUCCAUAAAGUGGGAGUUGGGGGCGAGGGCGAUAGAAAUCAUCAAGUGAAAGAGUAUGGCAAGAGAAAGGUGGAGAGCUAAGAAUCAUGCAGAGCUAGCAUUGCCCAAUUUACCGAGACAGCUUCUAGAACACUCAUAAUAGAGAGAAUGGCCAACAGUGUCAAAUGUUACAGAAAGAGGUAGAUCAAGGAAUUUCUGUUUGCAUUUGUGAUUAAAGUCAAGAUUGAACGAGUCUAUGUAGAUAGUCUUUUGUGUCUUUGGGUCAAGUGUAGAUUUGGCAGUCAGCUAGAUCAUCUGACAAAGCCAGAAAUCAAACUAGAUAACUCCUAACUCCCCAAAUCCACCUGGACUCUGAAUUAUUUAGGUGGAUUCCUGGAAUUGACCACAUUGCUUAUAAUUCCAUGUCUUCUGGCUAAACUCUAACCUCCUUUAGGGUACAGCUUUUGUCUUACAAGCUCUUGGCCCUUAAAAGAAGCUUAAUACUUUUUAAAUAUAGUAGUUGAAUGAAAACUAACCCCAACUGUGUACAGAUACUCAACCAUUUGCGGGAGCAAUUAGGAAUAAAAGAGGAGAACCAAGGAUUCAGCAUAAUGUGUGUUCUAGGGCCAGUAUAACGCUAAAAAAGGAAGAACUAGGAAAGAUAGAUGACUUAGAGGCCCUUGGGUGUAACAGAGAGUCAGUCUUCCCAUUGCUACCACAGAGACAUGCUUCGUGGAUUAAUUAACUAUUAUUCUCCAUUUACAAAUGAGUUCAUAGAGGCAAAGAGGUUAAGUCACUUCUAGAAGAUCAUAAUGUGUCAGCAGGAGAUCAAAGCCUGAAGGAACAGGCUUACCACUUAGAGCUCCAUGUCUGUAACCUAAUAGAGAGCUUCUGAACUUCUGUAAAACUGUGACUUCACUUCUUAGAUGAUGAGUUGUUAAAGUUCUCUCUGAGGUUAGUUUUACACGAGCAACUCAGGGAAAACAUGCACUUUUAAGUGACAAUAGUGCUGCUAUUAUCUCUUUAAAAAUCAUGUGUGGCCUUCCUUAUUAAAGACAAAGUGGGAAUUAUUCUUGGUGGGAAGAGAAAACAUAUCCUCCCCAUUUCCAUUUCAGUCUAGGAAAUAAACAUUUACUGCAUCAUGAACAAACAUAUUUACUUGCGUUUUAUCCAGAGCUUUUGAAAUGAUUGGUUGCAGGCAUCCACUUGUAAAAGGUUUAUUAGACACUGGUUUAAAAGAUUCAUUUCUUGAAUCAUAACUAUUAAGAAGUUGAGGCAAAGCUACCUGAUGGCUUCCUUUUUGACCUCACUGCAAUCUUAAAACAGGGCACAGAAGAGUUAACAGGAGGCCCAGACAGUCCCCUGCUGAUCCCAUAAUGAGUGGGAGCUACAGCUGAAUGUCAAUAGCUCUUGUGAACUUGGGUAACCCAGCUGAGCCCUCUGCUUGCCAGAGCUGGAGGAGGUAAUCAGCUUGACCCCUGUGACCUUCCUGAGGCUGUGUUCUGUCCUGCAUGGAGAAGCCUCUUUGCAUAUGACUCCUACAUCCUGCUCAGUUCUCUUUUAGGAGAACUAGACCUGAGUCAGCCUCAAGAGGGAACAUGAUAUAAAUUAGUCAAUGCUGGUUAUAGGUUGCACAAUGUAGUAGGUG